UGCUGUUCUUCCGUUCACGAAU
rnacentral:miRNA from 1 species